rnacentral:rRNA from 1 species
UACGGUAGGGGGCAUAGCGUUGUCCGGAUUUAUUGGGGCGUAAAAGAGCGUGUAGGCGGCCGGGUAAUCCGGUGUGAAAACUCGAGGCUUAAACCUCGAGGAUGUCAUCCGGAAACUGUCUGGCUAGAGUCCGGGAGGGGCGAGUGGAAUUCCUGGGUGUAGCGGUGAAAUGCGACAGAUAUCAGGAGGAACACCAAUGGCGAAGGCAGCUCGCUGGAACGGUACUGACGCUGAGGCGCGAAAGCGUGGGGAGCAAACAGG